GAUGAACGCUGGCGGCGUGCCUAAUACAUGCAAGUCGAGCGAACGGACGAGAAGCUUGCUUCUCUGAUGUUAGCGGCGGACGGGUGAGUAACACGUGGAUAACCUACCUAUAAGACUGGGAUAACUUCGGGAAACCGGAGCUAAUACCGGAUGAUAUUUUGAACCGCAUGGUUCAAAAGUGAAAGACGGUCUUGCUGUCACUUAUAGAUGGAUCCGCGCUGUAUUAGCUAGUUGGUAAGGUAACGGCUUACCAAGGCAACGAUGCAUAGCCGACCUGAGAGGGUGAUCGGCCACACUGGAACUGAGACACGGUCCAGACUCCUACGGGAGGCAGCAGUAGGGAAUCUUCCGCAAUGGGCGAAAGCCUGACGGAGCAACGCCGUGUGAGUGAUGAAGGUCUUCGGAUCGUAAAACUCUGUUAUUAGGGAAGAACAUAUGUGUAAGUAACUGUGCACAUCUUGACGGUACCUAAUCAGAAAGCCACGGCUAACUACGUG
rnacentral:rRNA from 1 species